AAGGUACUCCCUCCGUCCGAAAGUACUUGUCAUCAAAAUGAAUAAAACAUGAUGUAUGUAGAAUUAAAAUACGUCUAGAUACAUCUCCUUUUAUCCAUUUUGAUGACAAGUAUUUCCGGACGGAGGGAGUAUAUG
rfam:Triticum aestivum genome assembly, contig: Triticum_aestivum_CS42_TGACv1_scaffold_221667_3B